CUACAUCACGUUGAAUCACCGGUUGCCGUAUGAUCACCGAAGUUAAGCAACGUCGAAUCUGGUCAGUAACUAGAUGGGUGACUGCUUAGGCAUACUAGGUGCUGUAAG